AGGUUUUAAACCAUAUUGGACUAAACAUGUACCUCCAGGAACUGGAAAGUCUUAAAUAUUAAGAGCAAUUUUCUACUUCAAGCAAGCUAAGGCGAACCAACAGGGACCAAGCCUGUGUGCAGACAGAUCAAGCAAGUGAUGAUGGGGAAGGAGAAGACAAGAGGAGGAGGUGCCUCGGGGCGGGUCAGCCUACCUGUACUCACUCCUGCUGAACCGUCCAGCAGAAUGUUCCCACUUACUCUG